CUUUAUGUGAAGAGUGUGAAGAGCCAAGUGAGCAUUCUUCCUGCCUGGAAGUGCAGUAUGAUGAGAAAGGAAGUCACAUCUUUGGAAACUAAGUGCAGCUGUGAGUAAGUCCAUGUGUCUGAAGGGGUCAAAAAGCAACCUCCUGCAAGCUAACGAAUUCACCUCUUUUCUUGUCCAAGCCUCAGUGCUGAGAGAGGAAAAAAAACUGCUGGCCUUCUCGGGACCGGCAGGAAGCAGUUUGCAGUCUCGCCCGGCAGCUCUUUUCUUUCAUCUGUGCCUGCGAACCCACUGCCAUCUGCUCUUUUGUGGCUCUGCUUCUGACUCCUACCGUGGCUUCUGGGGCUGUCCGCUUUGCUUUUUCAGAUACCUUGCGGGCCUUUUCCAGGCAUGCCUGAGGAUUUGAGGUGAGGUAGAAUGGGUGUCAUGGGAUUACUUUCAGUCAGGAUGUGGGAGUAUCGCUUUGGCGCGGUGCAGGUGAUGAAGGUGAGCGAAGGAAGAUUAGAGAGGAUGUGGCUGCCAUUGAGUGAUGCCUCUUAAGGAUCAAA